CAAUAGCGUAUAUUAAAGUUGUUGCGGUAAAAAAGCUCGUAGUUGGAUUUCUGCUGAGGAUGGGCGGUCCGCUCACUGAGCGUGUAUCUGCUUCAGCCUUGGCAUCCUCUCGUUAAUCGUUUCUGCGCUUGAUUGCGUGGGGCGGGUGGCGGGACUUUUACUUUGAGGAAAUUAGAGUGUUCACGGCAGGCUAUCGCCAGAAUACAUUAGCAUGGAAUAAUACUAUAGGAUCUUGGUCCUAUUUUGUUGGUUUCUAGGAUUAAGAUAACGAUUAAUAGGGACAAUUGGGGGCAUUCGUAUCAACACGUCAGAGGUGGAAUUCUUGGAUUGUGUUGCGACGAACUACUGCGAAAGCAUUUGCCAAGGAUGUUUUCAUUGA
rnacentral:rRNA from 1 species